CCUACGGGUGGCAGCAGUGAGGAAUAUUGGUCAAUGGACGAGAGUCUGAACCAGCCAAGUAGCGUGAAGGAUGACUGCCCUAUGGGUUGUAAACUUCUUUUAUAAAGGAAUAAAACGAGGCACGUGUGCCUUUUUGCAUGUACUUUAUGAAUAAGGAUCGGCUAACUCCGUGCCAGCAGCCGCGGUAAUACGGAGGAUCCGAGCGUUAUCCGGAUUUAUUGGGUUUAAAGGGAGCGUAGAUGGGUUGUUAAGUCAGUUGUGAAAGUUUGCGGCUCAACCGUAAAAUUGCAAUUGAUACUGGCAGUCGUGAGUACAGUUGAGGUAAGCGGAAUUCGUGGUGUAGCGGUGAAAUGCUUAGAUAGCACGAAGAACCCCGAUUGCGAAGGCAGCUUACUAAACUGUGACUGACAUUGAUGCUCGAAAGUGUGGGUAUCAAACAGGAUUAGAUACCCCAGUAGUC
rnacentral:rRNA from 1 species